GGGGAUGUGGCUCAGUGGUAUAGUGUCAGCCUAGCAGGUACAAGGCCCUGGGUUCAAUCCCCAGCACCACCA
rnacentral:tRNA from 1 species